rnacentral:rRNA from 1 species
AUUGAACGCUGGCGGCAUGCCUUACACAUGCAAGUCGAACGGCAGCGGGGGAGAAGCUUGCUUUUCCUGCCGGCGAGUGGCGAACGGGUGAGUAAUACAUCGGAACGUGCCCUGUAGUGGGGGAUAACUAGUCGAAAGAUUAGCUAAUACCGCAUACGACCUGAGGGUGAAAGUGGGGGACCGCAAGGCCUCAUGCUAUAGGAGCGGCCGAUGUCUGAUUAGCUAGUUGGUGGGGUAAAGGCCUACCAAGGCGACGAUCAGUAGCUGGCCUGGGAGGACGAUCAGCCACACUGGGAGUGAGACACGGCCCAGACUCCUACGGGAGGCAGCAGUGGGGAAUUUUGGACAAUGGGCGAAAGCCUGAUCCAGCAAUGCCGCGUGUGUGAAGAAGGCCUUCGGGUUGUAAAGCACUUUUGUCCGGAAAGAAAUGGCUCUGGUUAAUACCUGGGGUCGAUGACGGUACCGGAAGAAUAAGGACCGGCUAACUACGUGCCAGCCGCCGCCGUAA